UACAGAGGUCUCAAGCGUUGUUCGGAUUCAUUGGGCGUAAAGGGUGUGUAGGUGGCGCCGUAAGUCGGGUGUGAAAUUUCGGAGCUUAACUCCGAAACUGCAUUCGAUACUGCGGUGCUUGAGGACUGGAGAGGAGACUGGAAUUCAUGGUGUAGCAGUGAAAUGCGUAGAGAUCAUGAGGAAGACCAGUGGCGAAGGCGGGUCUCGUGGACAGUUCCUGACACUGAGACACGAAGGCCAGGGGAGCAAACGGG
rnacentral:rRNA from 1 species